GGGGAUUUAGCUCAGCGGCGUAAGCACCUGCCUUGCAAGCAGGAAGUCGCGAGUUUGAUCCCCG
rnacentral:tRNA from 1 species